rnacentral:rRNA from 1 species
GUCCAGACUCCUACGGGAGGCAGCAGUGGGGAAUAUUGGACAAUGGGCGCAAGCCUGAUCCAGCCAUGCCGCGUGUGUGAAGAAGGCUCUAGGGUUGUAAAGCACUUUCAGUAGGGAGGAAGGCCAGAGGCUUAAUAAGUCUUUGGAUUGACGUUACCUACAGAAGCAGCACCGGCUAACUCCGUGCCAGCAGCCGCGGUA